rnacentral:rRNA from 1 species
CAUGCGUUCCAUUGGGCAGUUUGGCGGGGUAACGGCCCACCAAACCGACGAUGGAUAGGGGUUCUGAGAGGAAGGUCCCCCACAUUGGUACUGAGACACGGACCAAACUCCUACGGGAGGCAGCAGUGAGGAAUAUUGGUCAAUGGCCGAGAGGCUGAACCAGCCAAGUCGCGUGAGGGAUGAAGGUUCUAUGGAUCGUAAACCUCUUUUAUAAGGGAAUAAAGUGCGGGACGUGUCCCGUUUUGUAUGUACCUUAUGAAUAAGGAUCGGCUAACUCCGUGCCAGCAGCCGCGGUAAUACGGAGGAUCCGAGCGUUAUCCGGAUUUAUUGGGUUUAAAGGGUGCGUAGGCGGCCUUUUAAGUCAGCGGUGAAAGUCUGUGGCUCAACCAUAGAAUUGCCGUUGAAACUGGGGGGCUUGAGUAUGUUUGAGGCAGGCGGAAUGCGUGGUGUAGCGGUGAAAUGCAUAGAUAUCACGC